rnacentral:rRNA from 1 species
AUUGAACGCCGGCGGUACGCUUAACACAUGCAAGUCGAACGAUGAGAAAGAGCUUGCUCUUUCGAUUAGUGGCGGACGGGUGCGUAACGCGUAGGAAUCUACCUAUUAGUGGGGGACAACUUAGGGAAACUUAAGCUAAUACCGCAUACGCCCUACGGGGGAAAGAAGGGGAUCGCAAGACCUUUUGCUAAUAGAUGAGCCUGCGUAGGAUUAGCUAGUUGGUGGGGUAAAAGCUCACCAAGGCGACGAUCCUUAACUGGUUUGAGAGAAUGAUCAGUAACACUGGAACUGAGACACGGUCCAGACUCCUACGGGAGGCAGCAGUGGGGAAUAUUGGACAAGGGGCGAAAGCCUGAUCCAGCAAUACCGCGUGUGUGAAGAAGGCCUUAGGGUUGUAAAGCACUUUCAAUUGGAAGGAAAACCUCGAAGCUAAUACCUUCGAGUUUGACAUUACCUUUAGAAGAAGCACCGGCUAACUCCGUGCCAGCCGCCGCAGUAAAAC